UUUUUUUAGAAACUGAAUCACUGGCUUUAGAAUGAUACUCAAGAAACAUGACAAACUUGCAAGUUCGGAUUGUGGCAACAAGUUUUAUAAAGAAAAUGUCGAGAUAUUGUAUUUUUAUGAACUAAAAGAGAUCAACACUCUUAUUCAAAGAAUUAAAAUUUUUAUCCAUUUUCCCAUCUCUCCCUCUCUUUACAGGAAAUUAUGAUAAAUUAGCUGGAGAACAGUAACCAUGGUCGGGCCAUAGCUAAGCUUCGUGUCCCCCCACUGGGUGGAGUCUCUUCACCGUGGACUAUACUGGCCAAUGGGUGGCUGAUGGGAGCAAUUUUUAUAAUGACAAUAGUGGCUGUUAUAGCAUGUGUAUAUCAGAUCCAUAGUCCCUUACCAUGGUCCCCUAACACUGGUACCAGUUGCUGGGUCUUUGGUCGGGUUUCAUUCUUUCAGUUUCGCUCUUUCUUUUGCAGUUAAUACUUUCUUCUGACGGUACUUUGGCAUCAAUAACAUCGUAAUUUUUGAGUUUCAUCCGAGAAAUCAUCUCAACUUUUAAAAAUUGUUCGCAGUAAGGAGUCUAUUCCUGUAUUAUGAUGUCUCAUUUCCUGAUUUCUGGAUACUCAGUUAUCUUGCUAUUGUGUUACUUGACAUGCGAUACUUUAUCUGUUAUCCUGUGUAUGGCCAGAAUGCUAGCUACCAGUGGUAAACCAUACAGUUAAUUGGGCGAAGCCCUUACUUACAAGAACUUGAACGUAUGUCUGGGCGUGACUGGGAGGUGCGGUCUGGAGGCGGAGCCCCUCAAUGUUUUACAUUCUUUCUAGUAUAUCUUAUUAUGAUAAUACAUUAGGAUACAGUACUUGCAUGUAACAAAUAUUAUGACUGACUAACUAGCUAUCAAUUUAUCCAUGUAGUCAAAAUUGAUUCCACGCAAGUUUUUACCUUAUAACAAUGCAUGCAUAUAUGUAUACUAGUAUUCAAUUUUUUUUGUUUCUGUUUCUCAUAUAGAUGUAUGUAUUCCUCCAUAUAGAAUCAUUAGUUAAGUACGUUAUCAUAAUUAUACUAAACUGUGAGAUCAUUUGUUGCUAUGCUUCCUGCAUAGACAUUAUGGUAGCACUAGGGAGGCUUUCCCUCAUCUAAUGCUGGAAUACAAUCAACUUCUUAGUAGCAGCUGCUCUGAAAAGUUACAUAAAGAGAGAGAGUGGGGCAAUAUGUUUUAGUUCUACUACUUCCUUUUUAGAGCAUAAAUUUCAUUGUUUUUGUGGCUCUGUGAACAUAAAUAAUGAAAGUUUUGCUUGCAAACUAUGUCAAUUUGUACAUAACUGUGUGCAUGUACAAUGUACAUUUACAUGUAUCUCAUUAAGGAUGCUCCUAUCCAAUCUGGUUUCCAUUACUUCUUUCUAGCCUGUUGAUUAUCUCUGCACUCAUUAGAUGCUACACUUAUGCUUGGGACAUCAAAAUAGACUGGGUUCUAUUUGAAGGUGGCUACUUCACUAGAAGAGAGAGAAUAUAUCCUUAUAAGGUGUCGUACAUUUUAGUGAUGAUAGAGUACCUG